GUGCUUGCUUCGGCAGCACAUAUACUAAAAUUGGAACGAUACAGAGAUUAGCAUGGCCCCUACGCAAGGAUGACACGCAAAUUUGUAAAAAACAAAACAAAAAC
ensembl:snRNA U6 U6 spliceosomal RNA